CAUCAACAUGUUCACCUCUGCUCUGGUUACAAGAGGGAUGCAGUGUUCCAGGUGUCACAUGGAGAUAGCCGGGCAUCUCAUGAAGACAGGGGCAUUUUUGUCCUUUGAUACUUUCUAUGAAUAAGGAAAAAAUUAUCUGAUAUCUCCCUUAAAACCUUUCUGGCAGGAUUGGGCCCCAUAGUGUGCCUUGCUGGAGGAGAGGCUGGAAGGGACAGUACCCGCCAUCUUUGUUCUCUCAGGUUGGAGACAGGCCCUGCUGGAGAAUGGGGAGGCACGAGGAAUAAAGAGGGUCUACUUCAGAGCAGCAGAAAAAAUGUUUCUUUCUGGAAAUAUACUGAAGAACAAAAUGUGAUAUGAAGACAUAUGGAAUAUAAAAACAAAGGGUGGACAGGCUGUGUAAAAAUGGAAUCUGUCACUCAUGUCUCCUAUUUGAUAAAUUGGAGUAUAUAUAAAUUUACUCAAUUUAAAUGCAAAUAUUUGAUUUUAGAAAGUCUCAUACUCUAUAUAUUAUAGGGCAGAAAAUUUUCAUAUCAUCGCACACUCUAUUAAAGAGGAUUUCAAACUAUUUUAAAACUGUUCAGCAGCCUUGUAAUAAAGUUAUCCUCUGAACCUCUUCACACACUUAUCAACCUUGACUUAUAUUACUCCAAAUAUUUCAGCCUGUUUCUUGAGGAUGCUUUACCUUGGGGUCUCUAAGUGUAAAGAUUUCCAGUUGUUUCCAGCACAUUCUGUCACCUUUGUUCAACUCUCCAACUUUACUUCAUUAAUGUAUAUGGAUAAUGUUCAGUUCCAUCACAUCUUAUGAAGAACUAAUGAAGCUCUUCCAGACUUAAUUUUAGGAUUCAGUGGCUGUCUGGAUUCCCUUGUAUCAGCAUUCACUUUCGUCAUCACUUGCCUUGGUAAUUUCUCCUUCUCACAACAGCAAAUUUCACGACUAACGAUGGCCCGAAGGCUCCUUCCCUCCACGGGAUUCUGCUCCAGCCACAGCAGAGACUAUUUUGCACACCUUCCAGACAUUGCUGCCCCAUUCCAGUGUCUCAAUAUCAAGUUGCAAUAGAAGCUUGCUGUUAGUGGAUCUGCACUUUAAAAUGGUACUUAAUAUGAAUACAUAAUCAGAAGGGAUUUUUUUACUUGUUUUGUGAAAAUGAACUGCAAGUCAACUAAGAUAUUUAAAACAAGGAAAAAGAAAGUCUUCUUCUACAGUGCCUCCAGGAUACAAGUGCCCUUCUUGUCUCAUGGACUCAAUCAGGAGAUAUGAAGAUUGACAACUGAUUGGCAAAAGUGAAGUCACUGUGUGACCUGUCCUGAAAAGAUGGUGGCUGCAUCUAGAAACAGUGACGUGUUUGGGGAACAAUGGAGUAGAGUCAGAGACGCACCUACUAAGACAUUUUGGCUGCUGGGCACCUGAACAUGAGCAAUGUGAAGCUUCCGGUGCGUGUUUCCAUAGAGAGUUUUCUGAUAAUGUGUCAGUUAUUUUUAGCCACAAAACACUAUAAGACAACUGAGCAUGCUUUUCAGUGGCUAACAACUAUAAGCAUUAAUUUUGCUCAUGCACUAAGGGAUGACUGAGCCCUUCUGCUGGCCUGGGCCACGCCUAACUGAUUGCAGCUGGGCUAGCUCUUGCAUCAGCUGGUGGAUUGGCCUGGGGCAGGCUGGCCUGGGGUAGCUUUGGUUGGGAUGAUUUUUUUCUGCUCUGUGGUCUUUCAUCUUGUGAUAGGCUAGUCUCGGCUUUUCCUACAGUGGAGGCAGGGGUCUGAGGGAAGAAGUGGAAACACUUGAGGCCUGGGAGGCCUACUCUGAUAAUAAGCCAAGUCACCUCUGCUGCAUUCUAUUGGUUAGAGCAAGCCACAGCUCAGCCCAGACACAAGAGUUGGGCAACACCCUCUACUUCUUGAUGAGAGGAGCUAACAUGUAACUUUGCAAAUGGAAUAAAUAUAGAAAAAGGUGAAAAUUCAGGGCCAUUUUUGCAAUCAGUCCAUUACAGAUGGUUUAUUAUUGAGAAACAUCUAUACAUCCAUAUCCAUAUAAAAUUACAUAUCUGUAUCUAUUUUUGAUGUUAUAGUUGACCCCUGAUCCAGAGAAGAAAGGGAUAGAGUGUAAUAAUCUCUGCUUUCUGGUGGAUCUCCUGUUGUUGAGUAAAAGGGAAUAUGAUCAGGAAAUCACAAAUAUCAAAAGAAUGGAAUGGAUAACUGACAAAUGAUUUAUAUUCCAUAUGCGUAUGUCACAUUUAAUAAAACAAAAUUAUGGCUGAGCACAGUGGCUCACACCUAUAAUCUUAGCACUUUGGAGGCCGAGGAGGGCGGAUCACAAGGUCAAGUUUAAGACCAGCCUGAACGACAUGGUGAAACCCCGUCUCUACUAAAAAUACAAAAAUUAGCUGGGCAUGGUGGUGCAUACCUGUAAUCCUAGCUAUUCAGGAGGCUGAGGCAGGAGAAUCGCUUGAACCCAGGAGGCAGAGGUUGCAGUGAGCUAAGAUCGUGCCACUGCACUCCAGCCUGGGUGACAGAGUGAGACUCCAUCUCAAACAAACAAACAAACAAACACCCCACAAAACUACAUAAUAGGAAAAUGUACUUGAUAAUAUUAAACUUUUAAGCAGUCCUUUAGAAAUGGCUGAGAAAAGUGAUUAGGAAAAGGGUGAAAACCUCCAACACUUAGGGAAAAUCCUGUAGCUAUCAGCGGCAGAAAGCAAUCCUUAAUUUUCCGUAUGUCCCAGAGGGAAUGAGAAAGUCAACUGGACUGAGGCUGU
rnacentral:lncRNA from 10 species